rnacentral:rRNA from 1 species
AUUGAACGCUGGCGGCGGGCCUAACACAUGCAAGUCGAGCGGAUGAAGGGAGCUUUCGCCUGGAUUCAGCGGGGGGCGGGGGAGUAAUGCCUAGGAAUAUGCCGGGUAGUGGGGGAUAACGUCCGGAAACGGGCGCGAAUACCGCAUACGUGCUGAGCGAGAAACUGGGGGGGCUUUGGACCGCACGCUAUCAUAUGAGCCUCGGUCGGAUUAGCUAGUUGGUGGGGUAAAGGGCUACCAAGGCGACGAUCCGUAACUGGUCUGAGUGGAUGAUCAGUCACACUGGAACUGAGACACGGUCCAGACUCCUACGGGAGGCAGCAGUGGGGAAUAUUGGACAAUGGGCGAAAGCCUGAUACAGCCAUGCCGAGUGUGUGACGAAGGUCUUCGGAUUGUAAAGAACUUUAAGUUGGGAGGAACGGCAGUAAGUUAAUACCUUGCUGUUUUGACGUUACCAACAGAAUAAGCACCGGCUAACUUCGUG